rnacentral:rRNA from 1 species
UACGUAGGUGGCAAGCGUUGUCCGGAUUUACUGGGCGUAAAGGAUGCGUAGGCGGAUUUUUAAGUGAGAUGUGAAAUACCCGGGCUUAACUUGGGUGCUGCAUUUCAAACUGGAAAUCUAGAGUGCGGGAGAGGAAAGUGGAAUUCCUAGUGUAGCGGUGAAAUGCGUAGAGAUUAGGAAGAACACCGGUGGCGAAGGCGGCUCACUGGUCCGGAACUGACGCUGAGGCACGAAAGCGUGGGGAGCAAACAGG